AGCUUGAUCUGCCGCCGCGAAUAUAGAAUGAUUCCACGCCGCCUCAGGAGCCUGAACCGCCACCAACUUUCCAUCAGAUUACAAUAAUUUAUCCACACGAACGAAGAAGAAUCAAAAUCCGUAAAAAUAUUUCUCUAUGCAGACGAGAAAUUUGAAGGAAGGUAUGGAACCGGAAAACCAAAAAAUUUCAAUUAAAUCUUUAAAAAAUUCGACCUUGGCGGUGGAAUAAGGUGCAGCUCAGUUAGCUGAACGAUUGGGAAUCGGCGAGCAGGACCAGGACCGGAGGCGCCGCCACGACCUCUGCCGCGAGGUUUACCUCCGGUACCGGUUUUUUUCUUCUUGAUGAGAUCGUCUAAGCUCAUGUUCAAAGAUGCCUCUGCCAUUUUGUACUUUUAUGUAUUUACGUCUCUGUUUGUCUGUAUUUUGGGAAAGAGAGUAGAAAUUGAAGGAGAAAGAGGAAAGGCUAUGGUUUGAGGGAAGAGAAGAAAAGGCCUCUCUUUUACUGACUCCAGACGAAAUUUUUAACUACUCCUUUUCUGGUUCAGUUCGAAUUGUUGUU
rnacentral:lncRNA from 1 species